AUACGUAGGGUGCGAGCGUUAAUCGGAAUUACUGGGCGUAAAGCGUGCGCAGGCGGUUCUAUAAGACAGAUGUGAAAUCCCCGGGCUUAACCUGGGAACUGCGUUUGUGACUGUAGGACUCGAGUGUGGCAGAGGGGGGUGGAAUUCCACGUGUAGCAGUGAAAUGCGUAGAGAUGUGGAGGAACACCGAUGGCGAAGGCAGCCCCCUGGGUUAACACUGACGCUCAUGCACGAAAGCGUGGGGAGC
rnacentral:rRNA from 1 species